CGGGGUGUGGCGCAGCUUGGUAGCGCGCUUCGUUCGGGUCGAAGAGGUCGUGGGUUCAAAUCCCGCCACCCCGA
rnacentral:tRNA from 1 species